AACAUAAUUAAAACAGAACAGUAAAAAUACAGUUUUUAUACAUGUACUAUAACUUCCAAACUACACAUCCAAUCUUCAUAAAAAUUACAUAUUUGGAAUCAAUCCAUUAAGGGGAGCAACAUAUUAAAAACUGGCACAAAUCAGACAAGGGGUUCAAAAGUUAGCAAAAGUGUCUUUUGGGGCCUGGCUGGCAGCAUGGUUUUCUGGCCCAAACCGGAUUUACAGAGGCCUCUAUCCUGGACAAUGGGGAAAGUAAUCCAAUUAUCCAGGGAUAGAGGCAGACUCCAU